GAUGAAGAACGUAGCGAAAUGCGAUAAGUAAUGUGAAUUGCAGAAUUCAGUGAAUCAUCGAAUCUUUGAACGCACAUUGCGCCCGCCAGUAUUCUGGCGGGCAUGCCUGUCCGAGCGUCAUUUCAACCCUCAAGCCCCCGGGCUUGGUGUUGGUGAUCGGCGAGCCCCCCGGGGCGCGCCGUCUCCCAAAUAUAGUGGCGGUCCCGCUGUAGCUUCCUCUGCGUAGUAGCACACCUCGCACUGGGAAACAGCGUGGCCACGCCGUAAAACCCCCCACUUCUGAAAGGUUGACCUCGGAUCAGGUAGGAAUACCCGCUGAACUUAAGCAUAUCAAUAAGCGGAGGA
rnacentral:misc_RNA from 1 species